GGACGAUCUUUAAUGUCCCUUCCAGUCCAAGCCAUGUUCUGCAAUCUCUGGUGUUAGGAAAAAAUCACAUAAUUUUGUUUGUUGCAUACUCACAUUUCUUAAUUAGCCUUACAGAAUUUGCAAUCCAUGAGAUCAAUGGGAUUUUCCCAGGUAAGAAAUGUUGGUUUAAGGUUAGAUUGUUUUUCUCUCUGACAUUUCAUUAGCAUGGCAGGUCACUUUUCUGUUAUCUCAGGUCAUGCUAAUGAUGCCCUCUAUCUAUCUAGCCACAAAAAUAAUGUGCUGGGAGCUACAUCCCUUUCAUCUUUCAUAGACUCAACUCAAGAGCUGCCUUUUACCUCCUUUAAAUACUCUUAUUCUUAAGCUCAUCUCCAAAUUGGUUUGGAUUUAUCCAACCAUGUUCCUUUCACAAUAAGCAGAAAAAUACAGAAAGAACAAAAUUUGUCCAAAGGAUUAAAUAGCACCUAUCCUAUAAGGGUAAUACACAUCUGAAAACGUAAAGAAUGCAAACUAAAGGCAACCAAGAUCAAUUGAAGUGCUGAAUCUUGGGUUCAGCUCUGCCUCAUGGAGCUGCAGACAAACUGCCCCAAGAGGUGAUUUCAGAAACCAGACAUGCAGGAAAACAGCAGAUUCCUGUCUGGAGAUUCAAAAACAAGCAAAUAAACAAACAAGCAACCCUCAAGCAAGAAAAGGCUUGCUUGCUUUAUGUAUUCUGUAAGAUGUGGAAUGCACAGAUACUAUAUGUAAAUGUAUUUUUUAAAGCUGAUACAAACUGUUUCUGAGAUUAAAAAUUAUAAAUAUGAAGUAAUUCUCAAACUGGAAUCUGGUUAAUCAAGACCUGAGAGAAAGUGCAUUCAAAGCUCUGUUUAAUUUACACCUGAUCAGUUUUAUGUAGGAUCAGUGUCAUGGCUCACUUUCUUUCCUCCUUUCUUUUUGGUAUUUAUUAUCAAGACACAGAAAAUAUCCUCUUUUCUUCUUUAAAAACUAUCAAGUUAGAAUUUUAAACCACUCACAUUGUGCACAGUAGCAGUUAUUACUGUAGAUCUUGGAGGAAUUGCUCUCAGCUGGAUGAAAUAUUUUAUGUGAAUAAAAAAGGGAAAGCAGAAGCUUAAUGUGUAUUAUUUUGUUACCUGUAGAUACCUAAAAGACUCCACAUGACAAUAACCAAAAUAUGGAAAAGGGAAUCCAUGAAAUGUUCACAUUUUACAGUAAUUUGCCCUGCAGAAAAGAGGAAAACUCUGACCUACUUGAAGAAAGAGGGUUAUUAUAUUCAUUCUGCUAAUCCAGAAAAUACAAUUUGACAUGAACGCUGCAGGAAACAUCCAGCGUUACUCAGGAGCUGAUGUUUUGCCCCAUGGCAGCAGUGUUGAGUUCUUCAGUGGCAUGGGACAGUUCCUCACCUCAGGGCACAGGCUGGAGUUCACCCAAGCCAGGAGGCUGAAGGUGCAAGUUCAUCAUUACCUAAAACCAGGGUAAUUCCAUGGAUAAGAAAAGCUGUCAGUCCAAUUGCUACCCACAAACACCAUGGGAGGUGUUGGAUGUUGGGACAUCAUCACAGAACUAACCUCACCCUACUCUCAGUUUGUUGUGUCCGGUU